GAUGAACGCUGGCGGCGUGCCUAACACAUGCAAGUCGAGCGAUUCUCUUCGGAGAAGAGCGGCGGACGGGUGAGUAACGCGUGGGUAACCUGCCCUGUACACACGGAUAACAUACCGAAAGGUAUGCUAAUACGAGAUAAUAUGCUUUUAUCGCAUGGUAGAAGUAUCAAAGCUCCGGCGGUACAGGAUGGACCCGCGUCUGAUUAGCUAGUUGGUAAGGUAACGGCUUACCAAGGCGACGAUUAGUAGCCGACCUGAGAGGGUGAUCGGCCACAUUGGAACUGAGACACGGUCCAAACUCCUACGGGAGGCAGCAGUGGGGAAUAUUGCACAAUGGGCGAAAGCCUGAUGCAGCAACGCCGCGUGAGUGAUGAAGGCCUUCGGGUCGUAAAGCUCUGUCCCCAAGGAAGAUAAUGACGGUACUCGAGGAGGAAGCCCCGGCUAACUACGUGCCAGCCGCCGCCGUAACAC
rnacentral:rRNA from 1 species